UACGUAGGGUGCGAGCGUUAAUCGGAAUUACUGGGCGUAAAGCGUGCGCAGGCGGUUGUGCAAGACAGGCGUGAAAUCCCCGGGCUUAACCUGGGAACUGCGCUUGUGACUGCACGGCUAGAGUACGGCAGAGGGGGGUGGAAUUCCACGUGUAGCAGUGAAAUGCGUAGAGAUGUGGAGGAACACCGAUGGCGAAGGCAGCCCCCUGGGCCAGUACUGACGCUCAUGCACGAAAGCGUGGGGAGCAAACAGG
rnacentral:rRNA from 1 species